UUGACCUCAGAUCAGGUAGGAAUACCCGCUGAACUUAAGCAUAUCAAUAAGCGGAGGAAAAGAAACCAACAGGGAUUGCCCUAGUAACGGCGAGUGAAGCGGCAACAGCUCAAAUUUGAAAUCUGGCGCAAGCCCGAGUUGUAAUUUGUAGAGGAUGUUUCUGGCGACGCGCCUUCCGAGUUCCCUGGAACGGGACGCCAUAGAGGGUGAGAGCCCCGUACGGUUGGAUGCCUAGCCUCUGUGAAACUCCUUCGACGAGUCGAGUAGUUUGGGAAUGCUGCUCUAAAUGGGAGGUAUACGUCUUCUAAAGCUAAAUACCGGCCAGAGACCGAUAGCGCACAAGUAGAGUGAUCGAAAGAUGAAAAGCACUUUGAAAAGAGGGUUAAAAAGUACGUGAAAUUGUUGAAAGGGAAGCGUUCAUGACCAGACUUGGGCAGGUUGAUCAUCCGUGGUUCUCCGCGGUGCACUCUGCCUGCCCAGGCCAGCAUCAGUUCGCCCCGGGGGAUAAAGGCUUUGGGAAUGUGGCUCCCUCGGGAGUGUUAUAGCCCACUGCGUAAUACCCUGGGGUGGACUG
rnacentral:rRNA from 1 species